AACGCUUCUCGGCCUUUUGGCUAAGAUCAAGUGUAGUAUCUGUUCUUAUCAGUUUACACCGGUGACACGAAGCGCCGGGAUUGAGCUGGUGGGGAUGGGUGCUGCAUGGUAGGAGGCAGGUGUACCAGGGUGUUCCGGGACUGGUUCUGAGGAAUCAGCUCGACGGCUGCCCUGAUGUGACCUGCU